CAUGUCUAAGUACAAGCCGUGUUUACACGGCGAGACCGCGGACGGCUCAUUAAAUCAGUCGUGGUCCAUAUGGGCUAGAGUUAAUCCUACUUGGAUAACUGUGGUAAUUCCAGAGCUAAUACAUGCAACUCUUAUCCUGACGUAGCGCGGCUUAUCUCACGGUUUGUCGUAGCGCUGACGGAUGCUUUUAUUAGACCAAACCGCUGGGUGCGUGUUCGUGUUUAUUCGCGGAUGCGUACCACUCGUUUAAUGGUGACUCUGGAUAACCUUUUUGACAAGCGCACGUACUCCUCGUGGGACGGCGCUGCCACUUUCGAGUGUCUGCCUUAUCAGCUAUCAACCGUUUGUUACGUGCACACGAUGGCUUUGACGGGUAACGGGGAAUCAGAGUUCGAUUCCGGAGAGGCAGCCUGAGAGACGGCUACCACGUCCAAGGACGGCAGCAGGCACGCAAAUUACCCAAUCCCAGCAUCUGGGGGAGGUAGUGACGAAAUCUAACGAUGCGGGCGCCCUUUCUGGGGCCCCGCAAUCGGAAUGGCCACUUUCUAAACAACCUGUUGAGAACCUACUGAAGGGCAAGUCUGGUGCCAGCAGCCGCGGUAAUUCCAGCUUCAGUAGCAUCUAUUAAAGUUGCUGCGGUUAAAAGGCUCGCAGAUGAAUGUCAGUAUCGAGCGCAGGUCAGGUGGACGCUGGGGCGUGAACAUCCUAGGCGCUUCGCUUGUGUCGAUUGCGGAUGUGUGUGCGCGCGCGUGUUUACGUGUUCGUACGAAAGUGCGUUCAUAUUGCGCGU
rnacentral:rRNA from 1 species